rnacentral:RNase_P_RNA from 1 species
CCAGAGGGUCGGGCGGCCGCGGCCCCGUGCUUGUCACGGGGGCGAGGAAAGUCCGGGCUCCGCGGAACGACGGUGGCGGGUAACGCCCGCCGGGGGUGACCCCAGGGAAAGUGCCACAGAGAGCAGGUCGCCGGGUUCGCCCGGUAAGAGUGAAAGGGUGCGGUAAGAGCGCACCGCGGGGCUGGUAACAGUCGCGGCAUGGCAAACCCCACCGGGAGCAAGACCGAAUAGGGGCGGCGCAUGGGCUUCGUUUCAGCUCGUCGCCCGGGUUGGUUGCUUGAGCCCGUCAGCAAUGGCGGGCCUAGAGGAAUGGUCGCCACUCCUUCGGGAGUACAGAACCCGGCUUAUGUACCCUCUGGCAUC